GCGGCGUGCCUAACACAUGCAAGUCGAACGAGAACCCAUUCUUCGGAUUGGGGGACAGUGGCGAACGGGUGAGUAACACGUUGGUGACCUGCCCCGAAGCGGGGGACAACCACGGGAAACUGUGGCUAAUACCGCAUGUGCUCCAGGGGGUUAGAGGACUCUGGAGUAAAGCUCCGGCGCUUCGGGAGGGGCCUGCGGCCUAUCAGCUAGUUGGUGGGGUAAUGGCCUACCAAGGCUAAGACGGGUAGGGGGCGUGAGAGCGUGACCCCCCACAAUGGAACUGAGACACGGUCCAUACUCCUACGGGAGGCAGCAGUGAGGAAUAUUGCGCAAUGGGGGAAACCCUGACGCAGCAACGCCGCGUGGGUGAUGAAGGCCUUCGGGUCGUAAAACCCUUUUCUGGGGGAAGAGAAAGGACGGUACCUCAGGAAUAAGUCCCGGCUAACUACGUGCCAGCAGCCGCGGUAAAACGUAGGGGGCAAGCGUUAUCCGGAUUUACUGGGCGUAAAGCGCGUGCAGGCGGCUUGGUAGGUUGGACGUGAAAGCUCCCGGCUCAACUGGGAGAGCCGUUCAAUACCGCCAGGCUUGAGGGCGGAAAAAGGGAGUGGAAUUCCCGGUGUAGUGGUGGAAUGCGUAAAUAUCGGGGAGGAACACCUUGUGGCGAAAGCGACUCCCCUGGUC
rnacentral:rRNA from 1 species